UUAUCAAGAAUGGAUGUUGUACUUUGUAGAAUGUUUUUUCUGCAUCUAUUGAAGUGAUAAUAUGAUUAAAAAAAUUUUUUUUUAAUGUUUUAUUUAUUUUUGAGACAGAAAGAGACAGAGCAUGAACGGGGGAGGGUCAGAGAGAGGGAGACACAGAAUCUGGAACAGGCUCCAGGCUCUGAGCUGUAAGCACAGAACCCGACGCGGGGCUCGAACUCAUGGACUGCAAGAUUAUGACCUGAGCCGAAGUUGGCCACUUAACCGACUGAGCCACCCAGGCACGCCAAUGAUUAUGUGAUUUUUAUCUUUUCUCUUGUUGAUGUAUCAUAUUGAUUGAUUUGUGAAUAUUGAACCACCCUUGCAUCCCAGGAAUAAAUCCCACCUGAUCAUGGUGAAUGAUAUUUUUUAAUUUAUUGUUAGAUUUGGUUUGCUAAUAUUUUGUUGAGGAUUUUUACAUCUAUGUUCGUUAGAGAUAUUGGCUUGUAGUUCUUUUUCUUCUUCUUUUUUUUUUUUUUUUUGUAGUGUCUUUGAUUUUGGUAUCAGGGUAAUGUAAUGCUGGUCUCACAGAAUGAAUCUGGAGGUUUUCCUUCCUCUUCUGUUUUUUGGGAUAGUUUGAGAAGAAUAGGUGUUAACUCCUCUUUAAAUGUUUGGUAGAAUUCUCUUGGGAAGCCAUCUGGUCCUGGACUUUUGUUUGUUGGGAGUUUUUUGAUUACUGAUUUAAUUUCAUUGCUAGUAAUCAGUCUAUUCAAAUUUUCUGUUUGAAUUUCUAUUUCUUCCUUCAGUUUUGGGAAGUUUUAGGUUUCUAGGAAUUUAUCCAUGUCUUCUAGGCUAAUACACUUUAAUGAAGAUAAAUAACAUAAAGUAGUGCAUGGUGACUACCAAGUGGAAUUUAGCAAAAGAACUAAACUGUUAUGGUUAAUUUUUUAGUUUACCUCUCACUGUGACCUUGGACAAGUUACCUAACCUCUCUGUGCUUUCAUUCUUUAUUUGUAAAUUGGGAAUAUUAAUAAAACCUAUUGCAUAGGGUUUGAGGAUUAAAUGAGUUACCAUAGAUAAUACCCUUAAAAUGUGGGUACACACAUAGUAAAUACCUAUAAAGUUAUUAGCGUUUAUUUAUGUAUACUUUUGUUAUUACUGGUAAAAUACUGACACAUAGCUGUGUCCGCAUUUUUCUUUAUUUGGGAGAAGUUAUGGGGUUUCGGGCUGGUGGAGAAAAGGGAGGUAAAUCUGCAUCUUCACCAUUUCAUAACCUAAUGAUUAUGUUGCUUUGCUUUGGGGUUCAUUCAUCUUUUAGAAAUAUACCAAUUUUACAAGAUUGAGCCUAGUUCCUCAUUUGGCUUUCCUUGCCCCGUACAGACUUAUUUUAACAUGGCUUGUAGUGACUUUUACACAGUGAUUUCAGCAAAUCAGAGGUAAGUUGGUGAUCUUAUAUGCUUUUUUUUCUUCUUCAUUUUUUUUUUUAAUGUUUAUUUUUGAGAGAGAGAGAGAGAGGGAGAGAGAGACAGCACAAGCAGGGGAGGGGCAGAGAGAGAGAGGGAGGGAGAGAUACAGGCAGAGAGACACAGAAUCUGAAAUAGGUCCAGAUUGUGAGCUAUGAGCAAAGAGCCUGAUGCGGGGUUCCAACUCACUAACCGUGAGAUCAUGACCUGAGCCGAAGUUAGACGCUUAACCGGUUGAGCCGCCCACGCGCCCUAUCCUAUUUUUAAUCAGGGUGCAUCUCUUUAUUUAUUUAUUUUUUCAGUUUUGACACUAUUCAUCCAGUGCUUCUAAUUUCAUUGGCACAUUAUAUUUUGGGGGCAACAUACCGUUUUCCCUUAGAUCAUUUCUGCUUUGCAUUCAAUGGUACUUUGAAACUAAUUCUCUGAACACUUGGGUUUUAAUCAAGUCUCUCUCGAUUAGCUUUAGCCUCUAGCAGUUUAUAGCGUCUCUCUGGGCCUUGGUUUUUGCUUUAUUAAUUGAAAGGAUGAGGCUUCCACUUUUAACAUUUUAUGAUUUUAGGAGAUGAGAAGAAAAAAUAGCUUCUGACUUGGUGUAUAGAAGUUUGCCGAUGUGCAAGAUAAGAUCUUGUGGAGGUUUCUCUGGGUUCCUUGUGAACUGCUCUUUUGAUGAGGGAGGAGCCAAAAAUGCAAAGCUCAAAACAUUGCCUCACUUGGGGAGACCAGUUAUAGUAGUUUAAAUUGUCCUGCCGGCUCAAGAUAGGAGCUCCACUGUUAAAAUGAUGAUGUUCUACUUCAUCAGUGGAAGGGAAGACGUGAGAUAUGUUCUAGGGAAUUUAUAGUACUGAACAUAGGUAUGAUGGGAAUGUUAUCAAUUAAGUACCAGAUGAAAAUACAUGUUUAGUAGUUUCAGAGCAUAGAGAGGAAUUAAGGUUGGAGAGGAAGUGGAGAUAGCCUGAUAAAAGUCAGGAAGGAGGCCUGUCUUCUUGUUUACAAGGAGGUGGAAACCAGUUCCUAUCCCUCAUUAACUGUAGACCUCAUCUUGAGGAGCUUUAAGCUUGCCUUUGGGGUGGGAAUGGGUAUAUGGAGGAGACUGGGGAAGGGUACAGGCUGUAGACCAUCUUAUCUUUUUUUUCAUAUAUUUUGUGUUUUAGAAUAGUUUUAGAUUUAUUGAAAAAUUGUGAAGAUAGUACAGAGUUCCCAUACACCCACAUCCAGUUUCCCCUAUUAACAUCUCACAUCUUAACCAAUGUUGAUACGUUAUUAACUAGGAUUCAUAUUUUAUUCAGAUUCCCUUAGUGUUUACCUAAUUCCUUCUUGUUUUACAGGAUCCCAUCUAAAAUGCCUUAUUACAUGUGGUUGUUGUAACUCUUCAGGCUCCCUCGGGCUCUGAUAGUUUCAAAGAUUUUCUUUUUGAUGGCCUUGACAGUGUUCAGGAGUACUGGUCACAUAUUUUGGAGGAUAUCCCUCUUACAAUUUGUCUGAUGUUUUCCUCAUGUUUAGACUGGAGUUACGGAUGUUUGGGAGGUAUGAGUGUUGGCCACAUUUUUAUCACAUACUAAGUGUACAUAGUAUUAGCAUCAUUUAUCACUGUUGAUGUUGACCUUGAUCAUUUAGCUGAGUUUGUAUUUGCCAGGUUUCUCUACUUCAGGGUUACUCAACCCACCCCCACCCCCAUCCCUUUCCAUACUGUAAGAAGUGAAGGAAAUGACUAUGCACAGCCCACACAUAAGGAGGAAGGAGUUAUGCUCCACCUUCUAGAGAGCAGAAUACUACAUAAUUUUUUUGGAAUUCCUCUGCGUGGGAGAUACCAUUCCUGUUGUAAUGUCUCCUUCGUUUCUUGAGGCUCUGUAAAUAUCUGCAUUGGGAUUGUCUUUAGACCCUGCCUUUGGGGGGAAUGUAAGCUCAAUUCCUAUUCCCUAAUUCUGUCCAGAAUAUCUGGUGUGUGCUGAUGUCAAGCACGUAAUUUCAUUUCAUAAUUAGAAAGGAAAGGCAAAUGGGGCCCCUGGGUGACUCAGUCGGUUGAGUGUCCGACUCUUGAUUUUGGCUCAGGUUAUGAUCCCAUGGUUGUGGGAUUGAGCCCGUUUUGGGCUCUGUGCUGAGCAUGGAGCCUGCUUGAGGUUCAUAUUCUCUCUCUCUCUCUCUCUCUCUCUCUCUCUCUCUCUCUCUCUCUCUCUUUCUCUCUCUCUCUCUCUCUCUCUCUGUCUUCCCCUCUGCCCCCUCCCCCUCCCUCGUGCUCUUUCUUUCUCUCAAAAAAUUAAAUUAAAUAAAAAAAUUUUUAAAAAGACAUGUCUAGGGGAGCUUGGGUGGCUCAGUUGGUUGAGUGUCUGACUUUGGCUCAAGUCAUGAUCUCACCAUUUGUGAGUUCGAGCCGUAUGUCAGGCUCUGUGCUGACAGUGCAGAACCUGCUUCAGAUUCUGUCUCUCUGCCCCUCCCCCUGCUUGUGCUCUGUCUCUCUCAAAAAUAAAUAAACAUUAAAAAAAAAAAAAAGACCUAUAUCUAGGGUACCUGCUGGCUCAGUCAGCUAAGCAUCUAACUUUGGCUGAGGUCAUGAUCUCGCAGUUCAUGAAUUUGAGCCCCGCAUCAGGCUCUGUGCUGACAGUUCAGAGCUUGGAGCCUGCUUCAGAUUCUGUGUCUCCCUCUCUCUCUCCCCUCCCCCACUCACACUCUGUCUCUCUCUCAAAAAUGAAUAAACUUAAAAAAAUUUUUUUAAAUACGUAUGUCUGAUUGAGGUGUCCUAUAAAACUCAUUUAUACUAGAGUAUCAGCAGGCACAUAGGACUAAUAGGAAUUGUGUUCCAAUUUUGGAAAUUGAGAGGAAGUUAGAGUAGGAGAGGAAGUUAGAGUAGGAGAGGAAUUUGGAAAAGCACUGGACUAGGAUAAUUAGAUAAUAGUUAAUAUUUAUUGUGCAGCGGGUACCAGGUAGUAUUGUAGUUGUUCUACAUUUAGUCCUUGUGUCAGUCCUGUGAGGUAGGUAUGACGAUUUCCAUCAUUCUUAAACAUGAGGAACAUGAGACCUAGAAGGGGUAAAUAAUCUACUCAAGGUCACACAGCUAGGAAAUGGCGGAGACUCCUAGUUGCCUACCCAUUAUUCAUCCCUUUCUUCCUUAGUCAGUGGAACCCUGUAUUGCCAAAUGUGGCAAUGUGCCCACCUAGGAAACUUCUCCCAGCCUACUAAUGAAAUGCAAGUAAAAGUCUAUUGGGGUUUCUAGGAAAGUGCUUUCAAGGGGACUUGGCUGUACAGAAUAUCCUUUUUUGCCCUUCCUUCCCUCUCCUACCAGGAAUAAGGAGGUGUAGCUCACAGCAGCCAUCCCAGGCCAUGAGGUUACCUUGAGGAUGGAAGUCAUGCACUGAGAAUGGUGGAGCAGAAAAAUCAAUGGAAUCUUAGUUCUUGGUGAUAACAGAGUCAUCAUAUGUGCUUUUUGAUCGCCUGCCUCCUCCUUUAUUUGAGAAAACAUAAACUGUCUGGUUAAAGCCACUAUUAUCUUAGGCCUGUACAACUAGUAGCUGAAUGCAAUUCCUGACCGAUGAAAAUUCUAACUUGAUUUUAUUUUCUCUUCUUACCACGAGGCUUAACGCAUUUUAAUAAUAGGAAGUUACCUUAGGGUACCUAGAUUCUUGUUGCUGUUUUGUUCUUUAUUAUAAUGUGACCUUGGAUAGAUCACUUAGAGCCACCCCCCUCCUUUUGCAUCUUUUGAAUGGGAAUUAUUCAUUCUCUAACUACUUUAUAAGUUUAUUAUAGGGAACGUGUUUGUGAACUUCCAAGUUGUCUUGUGUGAUGUAUAGUUCUUAAAGAGGGUCAUGGUCUUCCUAGGACAUUCUAUAGGAAACCUAUAGAAUCUGAAAGCAAUUUUCUAAUGUUGUCAUUUUGCUUAUUGCCAGGUUUGAAUAUUUCUCAGGGAAUAAAUAAAUGGAAGCUGCGAAGGGAGGUGAUUUUGUCCCUACUCUGAUACCUAUGAGUAGCUUAACAAUUGCAUUAUUGAUGAGCCCUAUAUUUUGUGCCAGGGCUGCCGCUUAGGAUGCAGAGUUCAUUUGUGUUUGAUAUGGCUGCUUUUAUUGUACUGGAGCAUUGUUUCCUGAAGAUGCAUUAAUCAAGGAAUCAGUAUACUGGAAGGUAACUAAAUGCUUUUGCUCUGAGAGCUAGCCAAGAACAAGGGGCGCAGAAGGAAAUGUUUGCAUAACAUGGGGAGAAUUUUUCUAGCAAUAAAAAUCAUCAUUUCCAGAUAGUUCUUUGAAACUAUUACAGGGGUGUUCACAAAAAACUGGAAGGCCUCCAGCAUGGGGCCACCCAUGUAAAUGAUCCCUUUUUUGUCACUACACCCCUUGUUUCUUUAUUUCCCCACAAGAACUCCCCGCACCCCACAGAGUGGAGAUAACUGGAGCUAUCUGGGAUUGUAAAGUACAUUUGUGUUACUCAGUUGAAGUAUAACUAUUGCCAGUGGAGGGUGUGGUUUGGAAGUAGAAUUCAUUUGGAAUAAGAAUUGCAUUUGAAUAUUACUCUUAAUUAGAUGCUUAAUAACGUGAAAUGCCUAGUAUCAGAAACAUUUCACCUCCUGUACUGUUCUAUCCUGUUUCUUCUUAGAAAAUUUCUUGAGAUAUUCAACUUUGUAACAUGGUAUGGAGUAUUUUUCACAUUUCGGUAGCAAUGGUGCUUCUCAAACUUUAAUAUACCAUAUGCCUACAAGUCACCUGGAGAUCUUAACAAAUGUGAUGCCUAAUUUAAUAGGUUUGGGAUGGAGCCUGAGAUUUCUGCAUUUCUAACAAGCUCCAGGUGAUGCUGCUGCUGCUGUUGGUCCCUGGACCACGUUUUGAGUAACAAUGCCCACAGUUACCUCUGCACCUCAGUGCUGGGGCUCUUAACACUGUCUGGGCAUCAGAAUCAGGUGGAGAGCUUUAAAAAAGACAUAUGCACUUGACCCCAUUGUCAGAUUUCCUGAUUAAUUAAUUCCUUCUGGAAUAGUUGGGAGUUUUGAAGGUGAGACUCACUGGCUUAGUGUCCUAUUAAAGAAUGUGAUGUUGAGUGGUUUCAGUGUGAUUUCUUGUAACUUGAAUUGUUACAUGUUUUCCUCAUAUGUAAUUCAUGUUGUGAUGACUUGUAGUCAAACAGAAUCCACCAUGCAUUUUAUAUAGGGAUUUUAUUUAAUCCUGUGUUAUCUUGUAGAAUAACGAGGCUGCACAUAAAGAAUGUUGUAAGACACUAUUGUUGAAGUAACGGGAAAGCAAUAUAUGUGAUAGUUAUGUUUCUUAGAGUGCAAGAAAUAGAGGUCUGUUUGGCUAAACACAGCUGAUGACGGCUUAUUAUAAGAAUACAUAGGUAAGUUAGUUGGAAGACCAAGGAAAUAGCUUCAGCAGUCCUUUGUGAAUAAGAGUAGCUCUGGGAAACGGAUAGUAAACAGCUACUCCAGAGAACAUUUCUUUGUGAGUUGGGAUAACUGUUACUCGUAUGUCAGUGACACCACCAUUUUUGUGACAUAGUUUACUUCUGUCUACUUCCAUGGUUUCUGAAGUUACUGAAUAACUGGCUCUCUCUUGUUUUUCUUACAGUCAGCCUCUCCAAGAAAGAGGCUUUAAGUAAGUUGGCCAGCCACUGUCCUGCACCCUUGUGGGCAGGGUUCUCAGGCCACAUUACUUCAGAGGCGCAGGGCAAACUAUAGAUAGCUACCUUUUUGGACCCAUCCCCGAUCCCUUAUCCUAGGAACUUGAGGGGUAUAUAUGGUAGGGCCUGGAGUACCUGCAGAGGAGAGUUGAGAAUCACCUGCAGCUGCUUCUAUCAGGCCUUUGGAUCUGGGGGAUGCUAAGAGGUUUAUUAGAAUGAAGAGGGUAAAAUUGGCAGACUCCAUGUAUGACCUGAAUGCUCUGACUUCUAGUAAUGAGUUCCACGAGGGGAGAGACUUAACGUUUUUUCAUUGUUAUGGCCUCAUAAGUCAGAACAGUGACUGGCACAUAUAUUCAAUACGUAGCUGCAUAAUAGAAUGGAAUUGAACUCUUAGGAAAUGAUUUAAUGCAUUUAUUAUUUAAUUACAUUUCAUUUUGAGCAAAUCCUUUUAUACCCAAUGAUGGAAAGUAAAUUCCUACUCUGUCCAUGGCCUACCCUAUUGAGAAGAGACCGUAGGCCCUGACGCUAAAGAUCUUCACGUUUUCCUGUUUCCUUUCUGGUUUAAGAGCUUUGGUAUCAUCAGUAAGGCUGGUACCAGGCUUUGGGCUGAAAAGGAAGCAAAUGGAUGUCAAGUCCAGAGCUGGGAGUCCUUCCGAAUGGCCUCCCUUCUGGGUCUCCUAGGCCUCCGAGGGGUCUUGAACUCUCGGGCAUGGUGGGUGGGCGUGGCAGGGCCUCCGCAGGGGGUUGUGGGUUCUCUGGCCAAGCGGCUGCUUCCGGCAGACGGCGCCGCCAUCUUAGGUCCCGAUUGAACCCGCUUUUAAAGUUCAAACAUAGAUUUGGAUACUUGACCAAGAAACGGAGGCUAAUUUUCAGCCAUCAGAUUGCUUCUUAGCAUAUCACCAGAAAACUUCAACUGGAAAAGGGAAAACAAACAGAUCAUACAUUGUUAUUUGUUAGACACCUAUAUCUGUCAUAAAUCUGUCAUGUUUUGUUUUUAAUGCUGGGGUUACAAACAACCUCUAGAGCUCAAUAUCUUAUAUAAGUUAUAUUCAACUGGUGAGCUGUAGCCCAGCCUUACUUGGCUUCUUCAUUCUGGGAUUCUGGCUGAAGGAGCAAUCUCUUAACUGGGAAAAAGAACAAUGGACAAAUCAUGUGCCACCUUUUAAAACUUCUAUUCAGAAGUAGCUUAUAUUACUUCUACUCACAUUUCUUUGGCCAACAGUGUUAGUGGGCAGGGAAGUGGAGUCUUUCUGCAGGAGGCCCUGCAAGUCACCUGGUACCUUGAGUGGGUGGAUAAUCCCUCAGGGAGAGCAGUGAGUCAUUGGCAACAACAUCAUCUACCACAGCCUUCUUAAAAGGUUCGCUAGUGUGAAUAAAUUGGAACUAUGGCAAAAACUUGGUUUUAAGAUUCUUUGUGUGUUAUUUUUCAUGAACUUUUGUAACUAGAAAUUGGCACAUUGAGCUUUUGGAAUAUAUUGUAAUUCAAUUUGCUUAUUAAAUAAAUGCUCACUGU